GAUAACUGUUUAGUUUGUUAUUCUGUUGUUCAGGGUUGGGGGAAACCUGGAGCCUGACAGCUGAAUUGUACUGACUUUCCAUUUAGAGCUCAAGGAUAAUAAUCAGUAAUGGAGUCAAAAUUUGACUUAUGACCUGGCAUUUUAUCACCACAAGUGAAUGCUGUGUCAAAAACAAGAGAGUUAUGUUCCUUGGCAAAUACUGUUCUUGUGGGCCUUCAUGUGCAUCUUUAAAUUUUCGUCAAGGUAUUAGACUGACAGACAGGAGAGCUGCUGUACUUUUUCCUUGGAUUGGGGCAACUGGAAGAGGGGCAGAGAUCAGACAGCAGAUGGUGCGAGGGAAAGAUGCUCUUCGGUACCUUGGAGUUCACAUUUUGCAAGGAUCACCUUUAUGUGGGAGGAAAUGAUUUAGUUUCCACAUGUGGUUGGCCAUCCACUGUACUCCUGAGACAGUCAGCAAGAAUGACAAAUGCAAGCUGUCAGCCUCCCUAUUAGGAACAUUAUGUUGAGAGCAUUCAUAAAUUUAACAUGAAGUGCUGAAUGGCUCUUGGUCACCACAAACCCAGGUUGAAUUUGAAUCCAUGACCUUCUGAGGAAAUGCCCCGGCAGCCCCUGAACAGGCUUCAGUAGUCCCUUCAGUGCUAGGCUGCCUGGUUUUUCAGAUCCUUAUCCUUUUAAAAUUAGAACAGGGCUAUGAUGAGCCAAUUUACUGCCGUUCUGUGUAAUUUAGGUUAUUCACUCAGUGAAAUGUAGAGGAUGAGAGCACAGUUAAGGCUGCAUAUUUCAACUUCAAAGAAAGAUCUCAAUUUAUGCCUGCCAAAGUGUUAAGAGUUCUACUGGCCAUAGAGCAUCAAGGAAACAUGUCUGCUUUGGUGAGAUAGCUGUGGAUCCAAAAGGAGCUCUACUUCAAGAUGUUUUUGGUUUUAUUUUAUUUUUUUUAACUUGCCAUGGUUUGUCGUGCUUCUCUCCCACUCCCCAAAUGGGUGGUCUGUUGGGGAUGAUGAGUCAUGAUUUCCUGGUUUGGAAAGCGACAUCACUCUCUUUUAGAGUUUUGGGGGUUCGGUCCAAGUUUGGUCCUCACGUUUUCUUUGGUAUUUUCAGUGUGAUGCUCACACUACAGGGCUGGAACGCUCACUGAUUAAGGACAUUUUAGGAAUGAUAUUAUGACUACACGAUUUCAUUCUAAUUCGGAGCAUUGCUUUAGAGUUUCGACAGCUGUUAUUGGCUCUCCCUUGAAGCAUUUUGUUUUUCAGUGGCUCUGCAUUACUAGAUGGGAAUCUGCUUCUUCACUCCCAGUCUAAAGGGUAAGUGUCAGUAAGCCUGCAGACUGGGCUGGGGCUCUGCCAUCCACAGCGUAAGGUCUGAAAUGCCUGCUCGUGAGUUGCUCCACCAGCGAUGCGAGCAACUGAAAGAAACUCCUGCACCACUUCUGCGUGCUUCUCAAGAACUACAAGUUGGUGUUGGAAAAGAGAUUCUUUUUCACUCAACUGUCAGAAAUUAAACUUUGUGAGACCUGCUCUAGGUGGAGAAGUGGGUUGCCAGGGUAGGCAAUGAAUGGGUAAGGAAGGAAGGGCCAUGGGCUUGUUUGACCUUGGGAGAUACUGCGUUGUAU
rnacentral:lncRNA from 10 species